rnacentral:lncRNA from 1 species
CCAAAUUGUCUUCUGCUCUUUAUUCCAGAGGGUACACACAUUCUUUGAAUGACUAUUCUUUGUUCAUCAAAGGUAAACCUGGGUCCCUUGUGGUUGUGACAGUCUAUGUGGAUGAUAUUAUUCUUACUGGGGAUGACAGUAAUGAAAUUACUGUCCUGAAGCUGUUUCUGGAUGAUCAGUUUAAAAUCAAAGACCUAGGAUCUUUGCAUUAUUUUUUGGGCAUAGAAAUGUCAGUUGUUCCUGGUGGAAUGAUCCUUAAUCAGCAUAAAUAUGUUUCUGACUUGCUACAUAAGUUUGACUGUACCAAUGUAUCCUCUGUUAUUUGUCCUUUGAAUAUUAAUGUCAAACUUCAUGUUGAUUCUGGUGACCUUUUAAUUUCUCCUGAUCAAUAUAUGAGUCUUGUUGGUAAGCUGUUAUUUCUGACACAUACCAGGCCUGACAUAUGUUUUGCUGUUCAACAUCUGAGUCAAUUUCUAAAAUGCCCCAGACUUCCCCAUAUGACUGCUGCUCUACAUGUUUUGCCCAGGCCUGACAUAUGUUUUGCUGUUCAACAUCUGAGUCAAUUUCUAAAAUGCCCCAGACUUCCCCAUAUGACUGCUCCUCUACAUGUUUUGCGAUACCUCAAAGGCACUUCUUCUAUGGGUCCCUUUUAUUAUGCAGUGAUGAUUUCUAUGUUGCUGGUUAUUCUGAUAGUGACUGGGCUGCCUGCCCUGAUACAAGGAGAUCUGUUACUGGGUUUUGGUCUCUUUUAUUCUGCCAGUGAUGAUUUCUCUAUUGUUGGUUAUUCUGAUAGUGACCGGGUUGCCUGCCCUGAUACAAGGAGAUCUAUUACUGGGUUUUGUGUGUUAUUGGGUGGUUGCCUGAUUAGUUGUAAAUCAAAGAAGCAACCUGUGGUUUCCUUGUCUUCUGCUGAGGCAGAAUAUCGAGCCCUUAGCAAAGUUGUUGCCGAAUUAUCUUGGCUGUCUCGUUUAUUAGUUGAUUUUGGUGUCUCUGUUUCUCUUCCAUUUUCUGUGUUUUGUGAAAGUCAGGCUGCUGUUCAUAUUGCUAACAAUCCUGUUUCCCAUGAGCGUACCAAACACAUCGAGGUCGACUGUCAUUUUGUUCGGGAUCAGCUACAGCAUGGCCUCAUUCAACUGUUUCAUGUUCCUACCACCCGUCAACUUGCUGAUCUUCUGACUAAGCCUUUGCCUGACACUGUGCUUCAUCCUUUGCUGCUCUAGUUGUAGGUAGUUUCCCCCUCCAACUUGAGGGGGGGUGUUGAGAUGAGAGAUUACAUGGCUUCCAAGCCAAAGAAAAAGUGACAUAGGCCUGUAUAUUCAUUGUAUAUUUAUUGUAUGUUCAUGGUAUACACUGUAGUGGGAUGUGAUGAUUAUUGAUAGUGGACUGAUAUCUGAGCCCAAAUUUAUGGUAUGUUCAUGGAUACAUUGUAGUGGGAUGCGAUGAUUAUUGAUAGUGGACUGAUAUCUGAGCCCAAGUUUAUUUAUAUUUGGGCCGUCUGACCCGACCCGCUGGUGUGAUCCGACCCACUGGUGUGAUGUAUAUAUCUACGUGUACAGAGAUAUUUUGUAGAGACUCGGUUCAUUUUUCUAAUA